UAAAGGAGUCCUAAAGUGGGGAUGGGAGUGCUAUUUUCCGACAAAUAUUGAUUUUAGAAAGUGAAAAAUGUAUAUAACUUGACAAUAUACUAUAAUAGACCCAUUAUGCGCCAACUCUGAAAUUGAUCGGAUCCAGGAAAAAAUCCCCUUAGUGCCCUCUAAACAAUCCCAGAAUGCAUAGCGCUACCUGAAUGGCGCGCUUCAAGACGCUGCCUUGACGAGGGAAGAGGACUUCAACUUUUGUGCCCUUUUCAAGAACAACGAAAAGGCUUACCAAGACAUGGAGCGAUUGUUGCGGUCAUCUGGAAAGAGUCCUGACAAGACGAAAAUUGUCAAAAGCCAGAAGAAACGGCGUAUUGACGCAUGGACAAACAAAGAGACCAGAGCCCUUAUCCAGUUCUGCUCCCUGACCUGUGAGGGAUGUUGGGAUCCCAGAGCAUCCCAGGCCUGGCCUAUGAUGAAAUGUGCGUCUCCCUUCUGGAGAAAGGCAGUAGAGUAUGUAGAGCAGCACGGAGGAACUUCAACUCCAC